GAUGAACGCUGGCGGCGUGCCUAAUACAUGCAAGUCGAGCGAACGGACGAGAAGCUUGCUUCUCUGAUGUUAGCGGCGGACGGGUGAGUAACACGUGGAUAACCUACCUAUAAGACUGGGAUAACUUCGGGAAACCGGAGCUAAUACCGGAUGAUAUUUUGAACCGCAUGGUUCAAAAGUGAAAGACGGUCUUGCUGUCACUUAUAGAUGGAUCCGCGCUGCAUUAGCUAGUUGGUAAGGUAAUGGCUUACCAAGGCAACGAUGCAUAGCCGACCUGAGAGGGGGAUCGGCCACCCGAGAGCUUGACCACCGACCAUGGUCCUGCGGGAGGCAGCAGUAGGGAAUGUGCGGCAAUGGGCGGAAGCCUGACGGAGCAACGCCGCGUGAGUGAUGAAGGUCUUCGGAGCGUAAAGCUCGGUUAUUAGGGAAGAACAGAUGUGUAAGUAACUGUGCACAUCUUGACGGUACCUAAUAAAAAAGCCACGGCUAACUACGUG
rnacentral:rRNA from 1 species